rnacentral:Y_RNA from 1 species
GGCUGGUCCGAGGCAGUGGUGUUUACAAUUAAUUGAUCACAACCACUUACAGAUUUCUUUGCUCCUUCUCCAUUCCUAUUGCUUCACUUGACUGGCCUUAA